CGUACACUCCUACGGGAGGCAGCAGUGGGGAAUAUUGCACAAUGGGCGCAAGCCUGAUGCAGCCAUGCCGCGUGUAUGAAGAAGGCCUUCGGGUUGUAAAGUACUUUCAGCGGGGAGGAAGGCGAUAAGGUUAAUAACCUUGUUGAUUGACGUUACCCGCAGAAGAAGCACCGGCUAACUCCGUGCCAGCAGCCGCGGUAAUACGGAGGGUGCAAGCGUUAAUCGGAAUUACUGGGCGUAAAGCGCACGCAGGCGGUCUGUCAAGUCGGAUGUGAAAUCCCCGGGCUCAACCUGGGAACUGCAUUCGAAACUGGCAGGCUAGAGUCUUGUAGAGGGGGGUAGAAUUCCAGGUGUAGCGGUGAAAUGCGUAGAGAUCUGGAGGAAUACCGGUGGCGAAGGCGGCCCCCUGGACAAAGACUGACGCUCAGGUGCGAAAGCGUGGGGAGCAAACAGGAUUAGAUACCCCUGUAGUCCCAUG
rnacentral:rRNA from 1 species